UACAGAGGGUGCGAGCGUUAAUCGGAAUUACUGGGCGUAAAGCGUGCGUAGACGGUUAUUUAAGUCGGGUGUGAAAGCCCCGGGCUCAACCUGGGAAUUGCAUUUGAAACUGGCGGGCUUGAGUAUGGCAGAGGGGGGUGGAAUUCCGCGUGUAGCAGUGAAAUGCGUAGAGAUGCGGAGGAACACCGAUGGCGAAGGCAGCCCCCUGGGCCAAUACUGACGCUCAGGCACGAAAGCGUGGGGAGCAAACAGG
rnacentral:rRNA from 1 species